GCCUACGGGGCGCAGCAGUGGGGAAUAUUGCACAAUGGGGGGAACCCUGAUGCAGCAAUGCCGCGUGGGUGAAGAAGCACUCCGGUGCGUAAAGCCCUGUCAGCAGGGAAGAAAAUGACAGUACCUGGACAAGAAGCCCCGGCUAACUACGUGCCAGCAGCCGCGGUAAUACGUAGGGGGCAGGCGUUAUCCGGAUUUACUGGGGGUAAAGGGAGCGCAGGCGGCGUGGCAAGGCAGAUGUGAAAACCCGGGGCCCAACCGCGGGAGGGGAUUGGAAACUGCCAUGCUGGAG
rnacentral:rRNA from 1 species